AUCGCACCCAUUGGGUACGAUGGUAGCCAUGCCACACAUCCGCCUGUUUACCAUCGCACCCAUUGGGUACGAUGGUAGCCGUGCCACACAUCCGCCUGUUUACCAUCGCACCCAUUGGGUACGAUGGUAGCCGCGCCACACAUCCGCCUGUUUACCAUCGCCGCCUGUUUACCAUCACACCCAUUGGGUACGAUGGUAGCCGCGCCACACAUCCGCCUUUUUACCAUCGCACCCAUUGGGUACGAUGGUAGCCAUGCCACACAUCCGCCUGUUUACCAUCGCCGCCUGUUUACCAUCGCACCCAUUGGGUACGAUGGUAGCCGUGCCACACAUCCGCCUGUUUACCAUCGCACCCAUUGGGUACGAUGGUAGCCGUGCCACACAUCCGCCUGUUUACCAUCGCACCCAUUGGGUACGAUGGUAGCCGUGCCACACAUCCGCCUGUUUACCAUCGCACCCAUUGGGUACGAUGGUAGCCGUGCAACACAUCCGCCUGUUUACCAUCGCACCCAUUGGGUACGAUGGUAGCCGUGCCACACAUCCGCCUUUUUACCAUCGCACCCAUUGGAUACGAUGGUAGCCGUGCCACACAUCCGCCUGUUUACCAUCGCACCCAUUGGGUGCGAUGGUAGCCGUGCCACACAUCCGCCUAUUUACCAUCGCACCCAUUGGGUGCGAUGGUAGCCGCGCCACACAUCCGCCUUUUUACCAUCGCACCCAUUGGGUGCGAUGGUAGCCGUGCCACACAUCCGCCUGUUUACCAUCGCCGCCUGUUUACCAUCGCACCCAUUGGGUACGAUGGUAGCCGCGCCACACAUCCGCCUUUUUACCAUCGCACCCAUUGGGUACGAUGGUAGCCGUGCCACACAUCCGCCUGUUUACCAUCGCCGCCUGUUUACCAUCGCACCCAUUGGGUACGAUGGUAGCCGUGCCACACAUCCGCCUGUUUACCAUCGCACCCAUUGGGUACGAUGGUAGCCGUGCCACACAUCCGCCUGUUUACCGUCGCACCCAUGAUACAUACACACAUUUGUACGUGGGCACAUGAGCACACGGAUGGUGGGGCACACACAUUCACUCCAAAAAAAGAACGGAGGGAGGGAAGGCCAAGGGAGUGAAGGGGACAGCAGAGGGGAAGGCACAGGAUGGAUGAAGGGAGGGCACAUGGUAGGGGAAGGGAGGAUGUUGGGAGGGAGCGUUGAGGGAAGUGGGGGGGAUGAUGGAGGAAGGGUGGAGGAAGAGAGGGAAAUGGUAUUGUGGAGGGAUUAUUGAGGGAGGGUGGAGUGA
rnacentral:lncRNA from 1 species